GGUUAAGUGACUAAGCGUACACGGUGGAUGCCUAGGCAGUCAGAGGCGAUGAAGGGCGUGCUAAUCUGCGAAAAGCGUCGGUAAGGUGAUAUGAACCGUUACAACCGGCGAUACCCGAAUGGGGAAACCCAGUGUGUUUCGACACACUAUCAUGUCAUGAAUACAUAGUGGCAUGAGGCGAACCGGGGGAACUGAAACAUCUAAGUACCCCGAGGAAAAGAAAUCAACCGAGAUUCCCCCAGUAGCGGCGAGCGAACGGGGAGGAGCCCAGAACCUGAAUCGGCUUGUGUGUUAGUGGAAGCGUCUGGAAAGUCGCGCAGUAAAGGGUGAUAGCCCCGUACACUAAAAUGUACAGGUCGUGAGUUCGAUGAGUAGGGCGGGACACGUGACAUCCUGUCUGAAUAUGGGGGGACCAUCCUCCAAGGCUAAAUACUCCUGACUGACCGAUAGUGAACCAGUACCGUGAGGGAAAGGCGAAAAGAACCCCGGCGAGGGAGUGAAAUAGAACCUGAAACCGUGUACGUACAAGCAGUGGGAGCACCUUCGUGGUGUGACUGCGUACCUUUUGUAUAAUGGGUCAGCGACUUAUAUUUUGUAGCAAGGUUAACCGUAUAGGGGAGCCGUAGGGAAACCGAGUCUUAACUGGGCGAAUAGUUGCAAGGUAUAGACCCGAAACCCGGUGAUCUAGCCAUGGGCAGGUUGAAGGUUGGGUAACACUAACUGGAGGACCGAACCGACUAAUGUUGAAAAAUUAGCGGAUGACUUGUGGCUGGGGGUGAAAGGCCAAUCAAACCGGGAGAUAGCUGGUUCUCCCCGAAAGCUAUUUAGGUAGCGCCUCGUGAACUCAUCUUCGGGGGUAGAGCACUGUUUCGGCUAGGGGGCCAUCCCGGCUUACCAAACCGAUGCAAACUCCGAAUACCGAAGAAUGUUAUCACGGGAGACACACGGCGGGUGCUAACGUCCGUCGUGAAGAGGGAAACAACCCAGACCGCCAGCUAAGGUCCCAAAGUCAUGGUUAAGUGGGAAACGAUGUGGGAAGGCAUAGACAGCCAGGAUGUUGGCUUAGAAGCAGCCAUCAUUUAAAGAAAGCGUAAUAGCUCACUGGUCGAGUCGGCCUGCGCGGAAGAUGUAACGGGGCUAAACCAUGCACCGAAGCUGCGGCAGCGACGCUUAGGCGUUGUUGGGUAGGGGAGCGUUCUGUAAGCCGUUGAAGGUGGCCUGUGAGGGUUGCUGGAGGUAUCAGAAGUGCGAAUGCUGACAUAAGUAACGAUAAAGCGGGUGAAAAGCCCGCUCGCCGGAAGACCAAGGGUUCCUGUCCAACGUUAAUCGGGGCAGGGUGAGUCGACCCCUAAGGCGAGGCUGAAAAGCGUAGUCGAUGGGAAACAGGUUAAUAUUCCUGUACUUGGUGUUACUGCGAAGGGGGACGGAGAAGGCUAGGCUGGCCGGGCGACGGUUGUCCCGGUUUAAGCGUGUAGGGGGUGUGACCUGGUAAAUCCGGUUGCAUACUAACCCUGAGGCGUGAUGACGAUGCACUACGGUGCAGAAGUAGUUGAUGCCCUGCUUCCAGGAAAAUCCUCUAAGCUCCAGGUAACAUUAAAUCGUACCCCAAACCGACACAGGUGGUCAGGUAGAGAAUACCAAGGCGCUUGAGAGAACUCGGGUGAAGGAACUAGGCAAAAUGGUGCCGUAACUUCGGGAGAAGGCACGCUGGCAUGUAGGUGAAGUCCCUCGCGGAUGGAGCUGAAGCCAGUCGAAGAUACCAGCUGGCUGCAACUGUUUAAUAAAAACACAGCACUGUGCAAACACGAAAGUGGACGUAUACGGUGUGACGCCUGCCCGGUGCUGGAAGGUUAAUUGAUGGGGUCAGCCGCAAGGCGAAGCUCUUGAUCGAAGCCCCAGUAAACGGCGGCCGUAACUAUAACGGUCCUAAGGUAGCGAAAUUCCUUGUCGGGUAAGUUCCGACCUGCACGAAUGGCGUAAUGAUGGCCAGGCUGUCUCCACCCGAGACUCAGUGAAAUUGAACUCGCUGUGAAGAUGCAGUGUACCCGCGGCAAGACGGAAAGACCCCGUGAACCUUUACUAUAGCUUGACACUGAACAUUGAGCCUUGAUGUGUAGGAUAGGUGGGAGGCUUUGAAGCGUGGACGCCAGUCUGCGUGGAGCCAUCCUUGAAAUACCACCCUUUAAUGUUUGAUGUUCUAACUCGGCCCCAUAAUCUGGGGUGAGGACAGUGUCUGGUGGGUAGUUUGACUGGGGCGGUCUCCUCCCAAAGAGUAACGGAGGAGCACGAAGGUUAGCUAAUCACGGUCGGACAUCGUGAGGUUAGUGCAAAGGCAUAAGCUAGCUUGACUGCGAGAGUGACGGCUCGAGCAGGUACGAAAGUAGGUCUUAGUGAUCCGGUGGUUCUGAAUGGAAGGGCCAUCGCUCAACGGAUAAAAGGUACUCCGGGGAUAACAGGCUGAUACCGCCCAAGAGUUCAUAUCGACGGCGGUGUUUGGCACCUCGAUGUCGGCUCAUCACAUCCUGGGGCUGAAGUAGGUCCCAAGGGUAUGGCUGUUCGCCAUUUAAAGUGGUACGCGAGCUGGGUUUAGAACGUCGUGAGACAGUUCGGUCCCUAUCUGCCGUGGGCGUUGGAAGAUUGAGAGGGGUUGCUCCUAGUACGAGAGGACCGGAGUGAACGCACCACUGGUGUUCGGGUUGUCAUGCCAAUGGCAUUGCCCGGUAGCUAAGUGCGGAAAAGAUAAGCGCUGAAAGCAUCUAAGCGCGAAACUUGCCUCAAGAUGAGUCUUCCCUGGGCCUUUAAGGCCCCUGAAGGAACGUUUAAGACUAAGACGUUGAUAGGCUGGGUGUGUAAGUGCAGCGAUGCAUUGAGCUAACCAGUACUAAUGAUCCGUGAGGCUUAACCUU
rnacentral:rRNA from 1 species